rnacentral:antisense_RNA from 1 species
GAGGCACUGGAGACAAAGAUCAGCCACAUGGCAGUCAACCAUGUCUAUCUGACCAAGUUCCAAUGAAAACUCUGGACACCAAGGCUUGUGAGAUAUUUCUCAAAAGACUCCUCUGCGGGAGAGGAGAAUAGCAAAUGCUACUCUCUCUAGCUGUACUCUAAGCAGUUCGCAGGGAGCAUCUUUCAGCAGCUGAAACAGCUUUGCGGCCUUGCUGUAAUGAAGAUCUGCCAGCACCCGGUGUUGUUUCCUAAGGUGUUCAUCACCAACCUAGAACCAAACCAAAACAAGCAACAAAUCCUUCACGAGAAAGAAAGAAAACAACUGUGUAAGCAGACAUCAGUGUAAACCUUAGCACUGUCUCUUGAUGAGAUAAGAGGAGGAUGGCAGUGACAGGAGUGUGGUGGCGAGCCAGUCACCUGCAGUCAACCACGGCUCAUUGCUCUCACCAUGCCUGUUACAUGAAGGUAUGUAUGUAUAGGAAAAAGCACUGAAAAACUCUCCAGUUUCAGGCAUCCACUGGGGAUCC